CCCUUAGAUGUUCUGGGCUGCACGCGCGCUACACUGGUGCGUUCAGCGAGUUUAGCACCUUAACAGAUAUGUUUGGGUAAUCUUCUGAAAACGCACCGUGAUGGGGAUCGAUUAUUGUAAUUAUUAAUCGUCAACGAGGAAUUCCUAGUAAGUGUGAAUCAUCAGUUCGCGCUGAUUACGUCCCUGCCCUUUGUACACACCGCCCGUCGCUGCUACCGAUUGAGUGGUCCGGUGAAUUAUUCGGACCGGUGGACCGUGGGGUAACUCGCGGUCUGCUGGGAAGUCUUGUGAACCUUAUCACUUAGAGGAAGCAGAAGUCGUAACA
rnacentral:rRNA from 1 species